AAUUAAUUGAUUCCUAAGAAUUAAGUGUGUCUUCAGUUGUUUUCUUUCCCAUCAGUGUGGAUAAGGAAGCUGAAGGGAGAUGACAGAGUGCUUACCUGGGCGACUUGCCUGUCUCCAUGACUGCUGCAGACAGAAUUCCUACUCACAAGAGAGGAGACACAGGGAGAAGGUCGACCUUCUCCCAUGGCAGAUGGGUACCACUGGGAAUCCUGUUAUAAACAAAGAGUGCAGAUUACUUUGCUCUUUUCCAGGAUUAUGUGGGCUAAACUGUGGCAGCAAACAGAUGCUCUGAGACAUAAACUUUGUGCUAAGUAUUUGCACAGCAUAAGUUUAAGAUAGAGGCAUAUGAUUCCUCCUGGAAUACCUGUGAUGAUUUCAGAGGUGAUUGCUCCCCCAGGUGGAGGAAAAAUGACGUCUUUUCUUCCACUUCAGGGCGAGUAAGACAGGGUAGGUUAAACUGGCUUCUAGUGAAUAUUAAAUAAAUCUGGCAGCUGGCACAGGACUGAUUAAGGAAAGCUCAAGCAAUCAGUUCUCCUGAUUCACAGGGAGUAGAGCUCACCUCCAGCAGGGAAGCUAUAGCACAUGGAUUGACAGUCAUUUCUGCACAGCACAUCUGACCAUGGUUAAAUUAGCCUCUGAGGCCCCAGCCCAAGCAAUUGAGUAACAAGUUUUUGGAGCCAGUCCUUGGAAGGUUGAAUUUCUCAGAUAAGAAAUGGAACAAAGAAACAAACAAACCACCCAGGCUCAAGCCCAUAGCAGGUCAGAUAAUAAAAUGUUCGGUUUUAUUUCUUCCCCAGUGGCCUGAAAGGAUGAUUAUAACUGAUCAUCAAAGUGUGCUCUGACAGCUACUCCCAAACUCAUUGAGACUUAAAGAGGUUAGGAGAGAAUUCCCCUAGGCAUUCUGGCGAUGGAGUUAUUGAUGGAUCUGUUGCAUGGUUGGAUAAAGCUUGAUUACCUCCUGUGUUGUGGGCUAGGAAUAAUCCACACACCUGCUGGAAGAGUGAGAGGAUUAAUAGCAAUUAAUGCAUUAAUUUUGCCUUACUGUCUUUUUGAUAUUUAUUGUUUGCUUUUAUUUAUCAAUUUAUUUAUUGAAUAUUUAUUGAUUGCAAUUUUUUUGCUUUUAGAGGAAAUAUUCAUCAUUCUUCUCUCACAAGCAGGGGGAGUGUUCUCUCCUGCCUAGAGAUGUGCCAUAUCCAUUGCUUCCUACCAGGCCUCCUUCCUCUCCUUGUCCUGGCUUUCCCCAUCAGGCCGAGUCAGCACCUGCAGUGAAGUUUCUCUCUGGCUUAAACCCAGGGAGCUUUCUUCCCACGUAAAUCACCUUGGUGAGGCUGCUGAUACAUGCUAGGGCUUCCACAGAGUAUGGAAUCAGACCUUCGCCUGGCCCAACAUGGUCCUUUUGGUCCUCUUCCCACAGCCUCUUUUUCCUUCUAGUUCCCUUGAACGGCUGUGUGUCUCGCCAGCCUUCUCCUUUCUUUUUAUUGUGAUUUGCACCUCUUGCUCAUUCAAAAUGGGUCUGUUCCCUCCCUUGGGUUGCAUGGGUGCCACCAAAGGCAUAAUUAAGCAUAAAUUCUUUGCUUGUCCCAGGUAGGUCUGAAAUGGCUGAGAGAGGUUUUCAGGGGAGUUUCCCUGUACUUUGGUACGCUGAAAGUCCUCUGGGUUGUGUCAGUGAGGGAGCUGGCCGCAGUGUGCUCAGGGAGGGCUGGACUCUGCAUUGAAGAUGUCACAUACUCUCUAGAGCAUCUGUGGGGUGUCUGGGAACCAUGAAGCUUAUCUGAGUUUAGAGGGGAACCUCUACGAGACUCUGUGCAGAGGUGCAAGUCACAUUCCUGACACCAGCUUCCAAUUUCUACUGCACUUCAAAUCACUCCUACAAAACAAGGGGCAAGAAGGCAGGAA